rnacentral:rRNA from 1 species
UACAGAGGUCUCAAGCGUUGUUCGGAUUCAUUGGGCGUAAAGGGCGCGUAGGCGGUGGGGUAAGUCUGGUGUGAAAUCACGGAGCUCAACUUCGAAAUUGCACUGGAUACUGCUCUGCUAGAGGGCUGGAGAGGAGAUCGGAAUUCACGGUGUAGCAGUGAAAUGCGUAGAUAUCGUGAGGAAGACCAGUGGCGAAGGCGGAUCUCUGGACAGCUCCUGACGCUGAGGCGCGAAGGCUAGGGGAGCAAACGGG